GACGAACGCUGGCGGCGUGCUUAACACAUGCAAGUCGAACGGAAAGGCCCUGCUUUUGUGGGGUGCUCGAGUGGCGAACGGGUGAGUAACACGUGAGUAACCUGCCCUUGACUUUGGGAUAACUUCAGGAAACUGGGGCUAACACCGGAUAGGAGCUCCUGCUGCAUGGUGGGGGUUGGAAAGUUUCGGCGGUUGGGGAUGGACUCGCGGCUUAUCAGCUUGUUGGUGGGGUAGUGGCUUACCAAGGCUUUGACGGGUAGCCGGCCUGAGAGGGUGACCGGCCACAUUGGGACUGAGAUACGGCCCAGACUCCUACGGGAGGCAGCAGCGGGGAAUAUUGCACAAUGGGCGGAAGCCUGAUGCAGCAACGCCGCGUGCGGGAUGACGGCCUUCGGGUUGUAAACCGCUUUUGCCUGUGACGAAGCGUGAGUGACGGUAAUGGGUAAAGAAGCACCGGCUAACUACGUGCCAGCAGCCGCGGUGAUACGUAGGGUGCGAGCGUUGUCCGGAUUUAUUGGGCGUAAAGGGCUCGUAGGUGGUUGAUCGCGUCGGAAGUGUAAUCUUGGGGCUUAACCCUGAGCGUGCUUUCGAUACGGGUUGACUUGAGGAAGGUAGGGGAGAAUGGAAUUCCUGGUGGAGCGGUGGAAUGCGCAGAUAUCAGGAGGAACACCAGUGGCGAAGGCGGUUCUCUGGGCCUUUCCUGACGCUGAGGAGCGAAAGCGUGGGGAGCGAACAGGCUUAGAUACCCUGGUAGUCCACGCUGUAAACGGUGGGUACUAGGUGUGGGGUCCAUUCCACGGGUUCCGUGCCGUAGCUAACGCUUUAAGUACCCCGCCUGGGGAGUACGGCCGCAAGGCUAAAACUCAAAGGAAUUGACGGGGCCCCGCACAAGCGGCGGAGCAUGCGGAUUAAUUCGAUGCAACGCGUAGAACCUUACCUGGGUUUGACAUGGAUCGGGAGUGCUCAGAGAUGGGUGUGCCUCUUUUGGGGUCGGUUCACAGGUGGUGCAUGGCUGUCGUCAGCUCGUGUCGUGAGAUGUUGGGUUAAGUCCCGCAACGAGCGCAACCCUUGUUCACUGUUGCCAGCACGUUAUGGUGGGGACUCAGUGGAGACCGCCGGGGUCAACUCGGAGGAAGGUGGGGAUGACGUCAAGUCAUCAUGCCCCUUAUGUCCAGGGCUUCACGCAUGCUACAAUGGCUGGUACAGAGAGUGGCGAGCCUGUGAGGGUGAGCGAAUCUCGGAAAGCCGGUCUCAGUUCGGAUUGGGGUCUGCAACUCGACCUCAUGAAGUCGGAGUCGCUAGUAAUCGCAGAUCAGCAACGCUGCGGUGAAUACGUUCCCGGGGCU
rnacentral:rRNA from 1 species